rfam:Fukomys damarensis contig162064, whole genome shotgun sequence.
CCUUCCUACAAAGGCAUGUCUUUGGACAUGUAAGAAUUGGAGGGGAAAAAAUGUAGAUUUAUGAGUUCCAUCCCUAGUACAAAAAAAAAAAUAAAAGGAUGGGGAUUGGAGAUAUCUGGGGCCAGCUGCUCCCUGCAGGUACAAGAUCAACUAUCUCACAUUU